rnacentral:rRNA from 1 species
GAUUAACGCUAGCGGCAGGCCUAAUACAUGCAAGUCGAGGGGUAACAGGGUAGCAAUACUGCUGACGACCGGCGCACGGGUGAGUAACACGUAUGCAACCUACCUAUAACUGGGGAAUAGCCUUCCGAAAGGAAGAUUAACACCGCAUAAUAUCACGAGACGGCAUCGUUUUGUGAUCAAACCUCCGGGGGUUAUAGAUGGGCAUGCGUAACAUUAGCUAGUUGGUGAGGAACGGCUCACCAAGGCGACGAUGUUUAGGGGGUCUGAGAGGAUGAUCCCCCACACUGGUACUGAGACACGGACCAGACUCCUACGGGAGGCAGCAGUAAGGAAUAUUGGACAAUGGGGGCAACCCUGAUCCAGCCAUGCCGCGUGAAGGAUGAAGGCGCUCUGCGU